CUCACAAAACAGCCGCCCUUUCUCCUCCUCUCUCUUCUUUCUCUCUCUACCCCGUCUUCUCUCCCUUCUCUCUAAACGGAACCAACGCCGACAGCCAUGCAAAAAGGUCGUCGUCCCUCCAUUAACCAACACCAGCGCCACUUCUACUUCUCUCCUCUCCGGCCCGAAACCCCAACCCCCGGUCGCCGCCACUACUUCAAAUUCGGCCGCCGCCUGCCACCGCCACCGCAACGCCGGCUGCCGAUCGAAAAAACAACGACAACAUCAACUCCGGCAACCCCCAAGCCGCGUUUUUGCUUCAACACUAACAGCCGAUGAAACCAGCCAUCGCACUGCUGGGAACCAAGCCGACGCCACCCUCUUCCCUUCUCUCUUCUCCCUCACCACUGGUGAACCCAUCAUCGCCUCUCCAGCCGCCUCACUUGUCAUCGGUGAAUCACGAUGAAUUCGUGACGAAUCCAUCCCAGGUACCUUGAUCAAUAAUUUUGGGUUCUGAAGAGUCGCCCGUGAAGGGAAAGGGGAGCUGCCCACUCUUAAUUUAGUUUUUUUUUUUUUUAUUAAUUUGGGUUUGUAAUAAUUUUGUAUGAACGUCGCUGUGUAAUGAUAAAUUAGGGACUGUUUGGGGGUGGGGUUUACGUGUUUAUAUGAUUUAUUUGAAUCACUUAGGCAAACCAUUAAUUAGGAUAAAUAAUGAACUUUUAUUGUCACCUAGAAAUCUUGUUUUAGGAUUAUAAUUAACCGACAUAAUUCAAUCUCUAUUAAGUUAAUCUCAACCGACGACGUAAAAAAUUAAUUUUUAACGUUUGUAUUUACAUUCCUGCUAUUCUAACAAUUUUUAGUAAAUAAAUAUCCCUUUUUCAGCGUUCUUUAACAAUUUUCAGCAAUUAGUGUGCAUUUCUUAGCAUUAAAUAAUUUCAGCAAUUAAACAAUAUUUUUAAUUUUUUUUUUUUUUUAACAAUUUCAGCAACUAACAAUCAGCUUUUAGCAUUUAAAAUCAAUUUUCAGUAGUUGAAACACAAUUUUCAGCAUUAAGACUAUUUCAACAAUUAAGCAAAUUUUCAACAUAUUUUAUUAAUUCUUUACCAUCUAAUAGUCUUUUUUAGCAAUUAAUUAAUUCCUGCAAUGUUUUUGUUUUAAUCACAACAUAAAAGAUUAUAUUAAGCAUUCAGUUUUUCUUACUUUUUCUUUAAUCUUUUGUAUUCAGAAUUGUUUUAGUGUUGUAAUCUGUUCUAUAACUUUCGACCAUCUAGGGACAUUUUUGGCAUAUCAAAUGAUAUUUGCUUACUAAUUAUUCAGUAUGUUAAACAAAAUUUACUUUCCCAUAUUACAAGACUUAUUUCUUUCAACUUAGAUAUCAUGCUUAACUACCUUUUACACAUUAAAUUAACGUGCUUGUUCUGUCACGUUUGAUUUGACAUGCCUUUUUAUUCACAAUGAAUUUUACCACCUUGUUGUAAAUGUUUUGACACUUACUCUUUAAUUGUGUGACACUUAGAUAUCAUGCCUAUAGGUUAAUGACACAAAAAAUAGUAAUUAUUUGUCUUUGCAUGCUAUCAUGAUAACUAAAUUUAAUUAACCAAGAGGCUGACUUGGGGAUAAUUAUGUGCUAUGCGACAUUCUACUUGUUAUGCGUUUUGAGUCCUAGGAAACGUAGCUUUAUUCAGUUUAGACCAUAAAACCAAAAUAGCAAAGUCAAAAGCCUCUUCGGCGAUUGGUGGGACAAUAGAUAGUAUUAAAGAUGUUAGUUUUAUUCUUGUUUUAGAACGUCUUCAGAUUUAAAAACUAACCUAGGUGCGGUGGGAUGGGUAGUCAUUCGGAAGUGAUGAUCUUCGGAGAUACUAUACGACAUUUGACAUUGCUACUUGUUUAGGAAUUCGGCCAGUGGGUCGGAUAAGGAUUAAAUAAGUUGGGGUUCUAAUCCGAAUGAAACCAAAACUUUUUUAUUUUGGAAUUUAUUCUUUUAUUUACUUUGCAUGUUCAUUUAUUUGGGGUAGUUAGUUUAUUACAUAAACAGUCCCCUUUAUUGUAAUUUA